AGUGACUGUGUUUAGGGUGUGGUGGACAAGGACGCCUCUGCCACAGCACCUGCAUCUUCAUCUCUGCCAUGUAUACCGAAAUCAAGGUCUUUUAUCUAAUUGGUUGGAUAACUACUUUUCAGGAUUCUUGCCGGAGGAGACGAACUUUUAUGGAUUCUUGCUGGAGGAGAUGAACUUUUAUGCUGUGUUUUUGCCCCUGUAUGUGUCGCUUCAGAUCAGGCUGAUGCUGUUGUUAUUAUAGAGGAGCUGUUGAAGGCCAAGGUUUUCUUUGUGAGAAUGCCAUAGUUACAAGAAAAGAUUGCCUGAAAGGUCUUUAUGGUUUAUUCUGCAAGGUUAGAGGCCUGCUGAGGCUAGCGUGAGGUCUGCUAUGGCAUCGAUGAUCUGGGUGUCAUGACUGUGAAGCCUGCUCACGCCUCUCCGCUCAUAAACCGUGUGACAGAGUAAAUACUCUGGUCCACAACAAUUAGACCUUCCUCCCUCUCAGCUAUGGUGCCACAGAGUGCCCAGGCAGCAGGAAGCACACAUAAAACCAUCGAUGCUCCUUUCCGUAGGAGAAAUAAGUGAACGGAUAAUCUUUUCAUCUUUGUAUAAAUUCAGAUGUGAUUAGCCAGGUCCAGAAGAUUUGGUCUACUUCUCACUAAAUCCCAUCUGUUCUUCAGAAAAUACUUUUUCUUUGAGUUCUGAUGCGAUUAGCCUUCAUGAUGCAUGGAUGCAAAUUUGGACAGUUGGAUUCUUGAUGUGCAGAUAAAUACAUUGAGAAGAUGGAACUAGAAUUAAACUUCCGUCCAACUGCAGGUUAGUAUAUGCCUUAUAUGUUCUAUGGAAUUCCGCUUUCUCAUUAGAACAGCCAGAAGUGUAAAAUUACUGAAGUUUGAAUGUUAAUCCAGCUUAAUACUUGGGGCCUCUGAUAUAGUGAUAUAUGCAUCAAAAUCAUAGAUUUUUAUUAUUGCAAAUUGUUGGUGACUACUGAUCAUCCUUAUUAUUUUUUAUUCAUACGGUUCACGGGGCAAUGAGUAUGAGAUCUGUUCGUGGGUGUCAUGUCAAGGUUAGAGUGGUUCUGCAACUAUUUUCAUCUGAAAAGAUAUACCUUGCAGCAUCCUGUAUGAUACGUAUAUGCUUGCAGAGGCGUCCAAGCUGUCGAGGUGAGCAGUGGUGGACAACUAUAUAGUGUGUCUUCUGCCUCGACGAUGCCUUCGUGCUUUCCCAUGUCGCCUCACCAGCCACCACCAACAGCAAUGUAGGGAUCUAUGGCGGGCAAGACCAAAGUGCUGCAGCCGCACGAGGGGGGCCCAAGGCCAAGCCUACACUAGCAGCGGCGAUGACGGAGGCGGAGGCGAAGGAGCUCCCCAAGGCCAUCACGUGGCAGCUGGUCCAGGACAAGCUCGCCUGGGUUGCCGUGGCCGGCUCCGGCGAAGGAGGAGGGUGGAGGUGUGGUGGACAAGGACGCCAUGGCCGCCUUCGGCACAGUGCCAACAUCUUCAUCCACUGCCUCUCUGCCACUUCAGAAUAAUAGUUGACGUUUUCACCAUAAAUCUGCGUACUGCAGCAUUUUUAUAGAUACUCUAUGUAAAUAAAAUCUUUUUUUCUUUAAGGGUUCAUAUAUAACUCUGUUACAACAUUGAACUAA